GACGAACGCUGGCGGCGUGCUUAACACAUGCAAGUGGAGCGACGAACCAGGGCUUGCCCUGGGGCAGAGCCGCGAACGGGUGAGUAACACGUGGGUAACCUGCCCAGAUGACCGGGACAACCCGAGGAAACUCGGGCUAAUACCGGAUGUGUUCAUCCCACAUCAGUGGGAUGAGGAAAGGAAGCUUCGGCCUCCGCAUCUGGAUGGGCCCGCGGCCCAUUAGCUAGUUGGUGAGGUAAUGGCUCACCAAGGCUUCGAUGGGUAGCUGUUCUGAGAGGAAGAUCAGCCACACUGGGACUGAGACACGGCCCAGACUCCUACGGGAGGCAGCAGUGGGGAAUCUUGCGCAAUGCGCGAAAGCGUGACGCAGCAACGCCGCGUGCGGGAAGACGGCCUUCGGGUUGUAAACCGCUUUCAGUUGGGACGAAGCUUCGCCGGUGAAUAGCCGGCCGGAGUGACGGUACCUUCAGAAGAAGCCCCGGCUAACUACGUGCCAGCAGCCGCCGUAAAAC
rnacentral:rRNA from 1 species